rnacentral:rRNA from 1 species
AUUGAACGCUGGCGGCAGGCCUAACACAUGCAAGUCGAGCGGAGAGAGGUAGCUUGCUACUGAUCUUAGCGGCGGACGGGUGAGUAAUGCUUAGGAAUCUGCCUAUUAGUGGGGGACAACAUUUCGAAAGGAAUGCUAAUACCGCAUACGUCCUACGGGAGAAAGCAGGGGAUCUUCGGACCUUGCGCUAAUAGAUGAGCCUAAGUCGGAUUAGGUAGUUGGUGGGGUAAAGGCCUACCAAGGCGACGAUCUGUAGCGGGUCUGAGAGGAUGAUCCGCCACACUGGGACUGAGACACGGCCCAGACUCCUACGGGAGGCAGCAGUGGGGAAUAUGGGACAAUGGGCGCAAGCCUGAUCCAGCCAUGCCGCGUGUGUGAAGAAGGCCUUAUGGUUGUAAAGCACUUUAAGCGAGGAGGAGGCUACUUUAGAUAAUACCUAGAGAUAGUGGACGUUACUCGCAGAAUAAGCACCGGCUAACUCUGUGCCAGCCGCCGCUGUAACAC